rnacentral:rRNA from 1 species
AUUGAACGCUGGCGGCAUGCCUUACACAUGCAAGUCGAACAGCAGCACGGGUGCUUGCCCCUGGUGGCGAGUGGCGAACGGGUGAGUAAUACAUCGGAACAUGUCCUGUAGUGGGGGAUAGCCCGGCGAAAGCCGGAUUAAUACCGCAUACGAUCCACGGAUGAAAGCGGGGGCCCUUCGGGCCUCGCGCUAUAGGGUUGGCCGAUGGCUGAUUAGCUAGUUGGUGGGGUAAAGGCCUACCAAGGCGACGAUCAGUAGCUGGUCUGAGAGGACGACCAGCCACACUGGGACUGAGACACGGCCCAGACUCCUACGGGAGGCAGCAGUGUGGAAUUUUGGACAAUGGGCGAAAGCCUGAUCCAGCAAUGCCGCGUGUGUGAAGAAGGCCUUCGGGUUGUAAAGCACUUUUGUCCGGAAAGAAAUCCUUGACUCUAAUACAGUCGGGGGAUGACGGUACCGGAAGAAUAAGCACCGGCUAACUACGU